rnacentral:rRNA from 1 species
AUUGAACGCUGGCGGCAGGCUUAACACAUGCAAGUCGAGCGGGAAUAGGUAGCUUGCUACUGAAUUCUAGCGGCGGACGGGUGAGUAAAGCUUAGGAAUCUGCCAUUUAGUGGGGGACAACAUUCCGAAAGGGAUGCUAAUACCGCAUACGUCCUACGGGAGAAAGCAGGGGAUCACUUGUGACCUUGCGCUAAAUGAUGAGCCUAAGUCGGAUUAGCUAGUUGGUGGGGUAAAGGCCUACCAAGGCGACGAUCUGUAGCGGGUCUGAGAGGAUGAUCCGCCACACUGGGACUGAGACACGGCCCAGACUCCUACGGGAGGCAGCAGUGGGGAAUAUUGGACAAUGGGGGGAACCCUGAUCCAGCCAUGCCGCGUGUGUGAAGAAGGCCUUUUGGUUGUAAAGCACUUUAAGCGAGGAGGAGGCUACCUGGAUUAAUACUCUAGGAUAGUGGACGUUACUCGCAGAAUAAGCACCGGCUAACUCUGUGCCAGCAGCCGCCGCCG